GACAUAUCUAUAAACUCGUAAAGAAUCUGCCUGCAAUGCAGGAGACCCAGGUUCGAUCCCUGGGUCA
rnacentral:tRNA from 1 species